GGGCUGUUUUCAGCAGUGGAAGUGGCCGUGUUGCUGGUUGUAUGGUAACAGAGGGAAAGGUAGUGAAUGGAUGUUGCAUCCGUGUCAUUUGAAAUGGCCACACAGUCCAUGUUGGUGUUCUUGAUUCAUUGCGAAGGGUUAAGGAAAUUGUUAAAGAGGUAAAUGCUGGUUUGGAAUGCGGUAUGGGAAUGGAUGAUUACGGUGAAUGGCAGGAAGGAGAUAUUCUUGAAGCCUUCAACUCGGU